rnacentral:rRNA from 1 species
UACGUAGGGGGCAAGCGUUGUCCGGAUUUAUUGGGCGUAAAGAGCGUGUAGGCGGCCAUGUAGGUCCGUUGUGAAAACUCGAGGCUCAACCUCGAGACGCCGAUGGAAACCAUGUGGCUAGAGUCCGGAAGAGGAGAGUGGAAUUCCUGGUGUAGCGGUGAAAUGCGCAGAUAUCAGGAAGAACACCCGUGGCUAAGGCGGCUCCUCUAGUAGCGGUACUGACGCUGAGACGCGAAAGCGUGGGGAGCGAACAGGGAUUAAGAACCGUACCGGAGUCAAGACCAAGACCUC